ACGUAGGUGGCAAGCGUUGUCCGGAUUUACUGGGCGUAAAGAGCGCGCAGGCGGUCGUUCAAGUCGCGUGUGAAAGCCCCCGGCUCAACUGGGGAGGGUCACGCGAUACUGAUCGACUCGAAGGCAGGAGAGGGUAGUGGAAUUCCCGGUGUAGUGGUGAAAUGCGUAGAUAUCGGGAGGAACACCAGUGGCGAAGGCGAAUACCUGGCCUGUUUCUUGACGCUGAGGCGCGAAAGCUAGGGGAGCAAACGGG
rnacentral:rRNA from 1 species